AGUAGUUCAUCUAAUGUAUUAUAGAUCACUUACUGCUUCAUUAAAGCUAAAUCUUAACACACAUUUUAAGCACAUUAAUUAUACAUGUAAAUAAGUUAAAAUUGUCUUUAGGGGACAUUAGAAACCUUUUUAAGAUUUUAUACAUAUUCCUUCUUUUGUACUAGCACUAUUUCUUUAGAUCUUUAGCCUUUAGGCAGAUCUUUACUUUUUUUAUUAAGUUUGAGUAUGUGUGAAAAAAAUAAAUUAAAAAUUGGUUCGUUCUGAUUGUCUUGCGGUGGCAGUGCGGGCGGCGACUCGGCAAGACGGUCAAAACGUCGCCUGCCAUCACCGAGCGCGAUGCCAUCACGAUGGUACACCCUACUGGCUCUUCCUUUUCCCGACCAGCAGAUCGGACGGCGGGAGUUCACGCGCCACUACAGGUCGCAACGGGCCGGAUACUUUUCAAACCCUAUCUAACAAAUUCCAAUAAACAUUUCCAACUACCGACCCAACAAAUCGCCCAUGAAUACAAGUUACUAUAAGCCAGAAACCGAAGUGCAAAACAUUAUAGACACAGAGCAUCCCCAGAUUGUAACACAGUGGCAUCGUUUGAUUCGUCCAGUUCAGAAUCGAGAAACGGCCUAAAUCGAUACUAUCGUCAAGCAUGGGAGAAUCUGCACGAAUCGGCAGGAAGCAAAACAGGCCUGAAAGUAGCUGCCAAUGGUAAUCAUCAACCGCUAAAACGGAAGGAAACCCUCGAUGAACCGUACAGAAAUGGAGAACGACAACGGGACGGUUCGGAACUGGUCGUAUCCGAUUCCACGGCUUUUAACGGCAGUGGAAAAUCGGCUGAAAAGAAGCGCCAUCAUCAUCAUCACCAUCACCAUGAUUUAAGACAGCAUAAAGAAGGAAGGGAGUGGCGCGAAUCUAGGCCGCCGCCACAACAACAUAGGGACCAGAAGAGAUAUUGACAACCUUGCAUGAUUAUUACAGUACAAUUUGAGGAGGAGUAAAUAAUAAUAAUAAACGAAUUACACAUCUAAUUUUGAAAUAAAAUGGAUUUCUUUCUAUUUAUUUUUAGUCAACUAUUUAGCGUUUACUGGAUUAUGAUUUGAAAUAUUUUUUGUAUAUAUUAUUAUCAUUAUUAUUAAUUUGAUGCUAGUUUUUUUUAAAUUUUUUGCAUUAUUAUUUAAAAGAUAUUUAAAAAAGUUAAGUAAAACUAUAAUAGUUGAAUCCCUUGGCCUUUCUUUUAAUGUAAUAUACUCGAGUUAAACUUCAACUAUGUACUUUUAAAGAAUGAAGUAAUUUACCAAAUGCGGUGGUCUAAAGUAAGGCUAAUGAGAUUCACGUAGAGCGACUUCGUAUUAAAAAACGACUGAUUAUUUGGUGGAGAUGUAUAAAGACCAAAAUUUAACUUAAUUUUUAAUUAUCAAUUCACUUAUAUUUCAUGUUUAAGUUAUUCAUAGCGUAAACUAUUGAUAUCUAAUUAUCUAAUAUGUUAGAUGGGAAAGAACCACUCGUUAGUGCCAUUUGAGAAAGGCAAACCCACAUCUUAUCAACAUCUUAAAUAUUAUUUUUAUCGCACAGAAUUUUUCAAUUUCUAUUUUUUAUUCUCGUUCUUUCCAUAAAAAAUAUCUCUUAAGGUACUAUCUUUAAGUUAUAUAAGCAAAAAUGUAAUAUAUGUUGGAUUAAUAUAUUUAUGAACAUUUAA